rnacentral:rRNA from 1 species
GACGAACGCUGGCGGCGUGCUUAACACAUGCAAGUCGAACGGAAAGGCCCUGCUUUUGUUGGGUGCUCGAGUGGCGAACGGGUGAGUAACACGUGAGUAACCUGCCCUUGACUUUGGGAUAACUUCAGGAAACUGUGGCUAAUACCGGAUAGGAGCUCCUGCUGCAUGGUGUGGGUUGGAAAGUUUCGGCGGUUGGGGAUGGACUGGCGGCUUAUCAGCUUGUUGGUGGGGUAGUGGCGUACCAAGGCUUUGACGGGUAGCCGGCCUGAGAGGGUGACCGGCCACAUUGGGACUGAGAUACGGCCAAGACUCCUACAGGAGGCAGCAGUGGGGAAUAUUGCACAAUAGGCGGAAGCAUGAUGCAGCAACGCCGCGUGCGGGAUGACUGCCGUAGGGUUGUAAACCGCUUGAGCCUGUGACGAAGCGUGAGUGACGGUAAUGGGUAAAGAAGCACCGGCUAACUACGUG